AGUGGUGGGCCAGGCGAAGGUGCCAUAGCGCGCGGCCCAGGCGCUGCUGCUGCAGCAGGAGCUGGCCCGGGGGCUCCCCGGCGCCGCCGUUUACAGGCGAGCGCAGGCCCAUGUUCUCGAAGUAGUGAGCCAGGAAGGCGAUCGGCUCCUCGGGCCGCGCCUCCAGCACCUUCAGCAGGGCCGCACGUAGCAUUUCCGUCACGCCGACCUGCCGCAGGAAGUCCUCCUCGCUCUCGGCCGCCCCCGCCGCCCGGGAUACCGACUGGCGGCCGCUGUCCGUGAAACCGGCCGGCGGUGGUACCGCUUGCCGCCGCUUCUCCACUGCCGCCAUCUUCGCUGAGGGCAGCGGGACCGGAAGCACCGCCAUAUUCCACUGUGCGCUAGAGCCCCCCCAAGGCGGCCAUCUUGAUUAAGGGCAGAGGGCACCGGUAUCCCGCUGGGAGACUUUGGGAAGUGACAAGGGCUUGCCUCUCCUGCCUCAAUCUCCGCAUCUGGAUGAAGGGCUUGGACCAGAACCCCUCCAAGCCCCUUCCCUGGACCACUCUGGAGCCCACGCACACGCGGGUCCCGGCCGCCGACAGCGAGGCGUUGCGCACGGUGAGG
rnacentral:lncRNA from 1 species